rnacentral:rRNA from 1 species
CCUACGGGAGGCAGCAGUAAGGAAUUUUAGACAAUGGGCGAAAGCCUGAUCUAGCAACGCCGCGUGGACGAUGAAGGCCUUCGGGUCGUAAAGUCCUUUUCUGUGGGAAGAUCGUGACGGUACCACAGGAAUAAGCAUCGGCUAACUACGUGCCAGCAGCCGCGGUAAUACGUAGGAUGCAAGCGUUGUCCGGAUUUAUUGGGCGUAAAGAGUGCGUAGGCGGCUUCUUAAGUGGGGCGUGAAAUCCCCCGGCUUAACCGGGGAGGGUCGUCCUAAACUGGGGGGCUGGAGGGUAGAAGAAGAGAGCGGAAUUCCCAGUGUAGCGGUAAAAGGCGUAGAUAUUGGGAGGAACCCCGGUGGCGAAGGCGGCUCUCUGGACUAAUACUGACGCUGAGGCGCGAA